CCUACGGGAGGCAGCAGUAGGGAAUCUUCCACAAUGGACGCAAGUCUGAUGGAGCAACGCCGCGUGAGUGAUGAAGGUUUUCGGAUCGUAAAGCUCUGUUGUUGGUGAAGAAAGAUAGUGAGAGUAACUGCUCAUUAUUUGCCGGUAAUCAACCAGAAAGUCACGGCUAACUACGUGCCAGCAGCCGCGGUAAUACGUGCCAGCAGCCGCGGUAAUACGUGCCAGCAGCCGCGGUAAUACGUAGGUGCCAGCAGCCGCGGUAAUACGUAGGUGCCAGCAGCCGCGGUAAU
rnacentral:rRNA from 1 species